UCCUCAUCUUCCUCUCUCUCUCUCUCUCUCCAACCACCAUUUUCUCUUCACCAACUCUUUUGUUCAUCUGCCUUCCCUCUUCCCUCAUCCCUCAUGAUUUCUCUCCCCAGUCUCCUCCUAUUAAAUAAUACUUACAAGUUUUAAAUACACAAAACCUUGUUUGGCUCGGAUUAGGGGUUCGAUCUUUGAUCUGGAAAGCAUGGACUCCAUUGAAGAAAGUCUUCAAUAGACUCAUUGCAGCAGCAAAUUCACCGCCGCCACCGCUGAUACGAUGUUAAGAGAGAGGGAUCAAAUGUUGUAUUUUAAGCUUUGCCAGCCACUUACUUGCUCUCUCCUCUUCACUAGAUUUAGCGAGGAACCGUUCACAAUACUAAGUUUUUCGUUAGAAUAAGAACGACCAGUCCGUUGCAUUUGUUUUUGU